rnacentral:rRNA from 1 species
GACGAACGCUGGCGGCGUGCCUAAUACAUGCAAGUAGAACGCUGAAGGAGGAGCUUGCUUCUCUGGAUGAGUUGCGAACGGGUGAGUAACGCGUAGGUAACCUGCCUGGUAGCGGGGGAUAACUAUUGGAAACGAUAGCUAAUACCGCAUAAGAGUAGAUGUUGCAUGACAUUUGCUUAAAAGGUGCAAUUGCAUCACUACCAGAUGGACCUGCGUUGUAUUAGCUAGUUGGUGAGGUAACGGCUCACCAAGGCAACGAUACAUAGCCGACCUGAGAGGGUGAUCGGCCACACUGGGACUGAGACACGGCCCAGACUCCUACGGGAGGCAGCAGUAGGGAAUCUUCGGCAAUGGACGGAAGUCUGACCGAGCAACGCCGCGUGAGUGAAGAAGGUUUUCGAAUCGUAAAGCUCUGUUGUAAGAGAAGAACGAGUGUGAGAGUGGAAAGUUCACACUGUGACGGUAUCUACCA